rnacentral:rRNA from 1 species
CCUACGGGUGGCAGCAGUGGGGAAUAUUGCACAAUGGUGGAAACCCUGAUGCAGCGAAGCCGCGUGAGCGAUGAAGUUUUUCGGUAUGUAAAGCUCUAUCAGCAGGGAAGAAAAUGACGGUACCUGACUACGACUCCCCGGCUAACUACGUGCCAGCAGCCGCGGUAAUACGUAGGGGGCAAGGGUUAUCCGGAAUUACUGGGCGUAAAGCGCUCGUAGGCGGUAUGUCAAGUCAAGGGUGAAAUCCCCGCGCUCAACGUGGGAACUGCCGUUGAAACUGGCAAACUGGAGAGGGUGAGAGGAGAGUGGAAUUCGAGGUGUAGGAGUGAAAUCCGUAGAUAUCGGGAGGAACAUCAGUGGCGAAGGCGACUAGCUGGCACAUAACUGACGCUGAGGAGCGAAAGCGUGGGUAGCAAACAGGAUUAGAUACCCCUGUAGUC